CAUCGAUGAAGAACGCAGCGAAAUGCGAUAAGUAAUGUGAAUUGCAGAAUUCAGUGAAUCAUCGAAUCUUUGAACGCACAUUGCGCCCCCUGGUAUUCCGGGGGGCAUGCCUGUUCGAGCGUCAUUUCACCACUCAAGCCUCGCUUGGUAUUGGGCGACGCGGUCCGCCGCGCGCCUCAAAUCGACCGGCUGGGUCUUUCGUCCCCUCAGCGUUGUGGAAACUAUUCGCUAAAGGGUGCCGCGGGAGGCCACGCCGUAAAACAACCCCAUUUCUAAGGUUGACCUCGGAUCAGGUAGGGAUACCCGCUGAACUUAAGCAUAUCAAUAA
rnacentral:rRNA from 1 species